rnacentral:rRNA from 1 species
GUGGGGAAUCUUGCGCAAUGGGCGAAAGCCUGACGCAGCCAUGCCGCGUGAAUGAUGAAGGUCUUAGGAUUGUAAAAUUCUUUCACCGGGGACGAUAAUGACGGUACCCGGAGAAGAAGCUCCGGCUAACUUCGUGCCAGCAGCCGCGGUAAUACGAAGGGGGCUAGCGUUGCGCGGAAUUACUGGGCGUAAAGGGCGCGUAGGCGGACAGCUUAGUCAGAGGUGAAAGCCCAGGGCUCAACCUUGGAAUUGCCUUUGAUACUGGCUGUCUUGAGUUUGGGAGAGGUGAGUGGAACUCCGAGUGUAGAGGUGAAAUUCGUAGAUAUUCGGAAGAACACCAGUGGCGAAGGCGACUCACUGGCCCAAUACUGACGCUGAGGCGCGAAAGCGUGGGGAGCAAACAGGAUUAGAUACCCCAGUAGUCC